rnacentral:rRNA from 1 species
UACGAAGGGGGCUAGCGUUGCUCGGAAUGACUGGGCGUAAAGGGCGCGUAGGCGGUUCAUACAGUCAGAUGUGAAAUUCCCGGGCUUAACCUGGGGGCUGCAUUUGAUACGUGUGGGCUUGAGUGAGGAAGAGGGUUGUGGAAUUCCCAGUGUAGAGGUGAAAUUCGUAGAUAUCGGGAAGAACACCCGUGGCGAAGGCGGCACUCUGGGACGGUACUGACGCUGAGACGCGAAAGCGUGGGGAGCGAACAGG